rnacentral:lncRNA from 1 species
UGUGUAGACUCAGAAUGUGUAAGUAGCUGAGGCUCCUGUUUCAGACUACAGUAGUAUAGGCUACGUUCCCUAUUUCUUUGUGUCACAUUUGGUUAUUCACAUUUCAAGGAAGGCAGGUAUUCUACAGUCACCUGCAUAUAUUAGUACUGAGUCAUCAUGGCAGAGUUGUCACGGACGUUCCUGUCUCCAACAGAGGCUGGCUAUGCAGCACUAAGGACUGCCUGCCAUAAUGAAGGAGGCACAAGGCACAUUUCCUCUGGAAUGAAAACUAUGGUGUAGUUAGUAAUCCACAGUGAAUAUGGGAUUGUCCAGAAUAGACCUCCAGCAAUAAUGCUUCCCUCCUACAAAUACUUACAUCUAGCCUUUAAGGCAUUAACUCUGCACUUGUACUAAAACCAGCCCAUCGUGUGCUUAUGAGAAACCCCUGUGCCUAGCACUGUCCAUAAGCACCCCUACACAGUUUACACGAAGGGUUUCUCUUGGAGGAUGCCUUCUUGUCCUUCGUCUUAGAAGUAGCCCAGAUCUUCUGUUGUCUGCACUUAAAUUUAACUAGCAAAUACACUUUUUUUUUUACAAGUGGGUUAUUUUAUUUAGAAGUGGCUCAUUUGGUGUUUGGUAGUUCUCCCAUUGCUGUAGGUACUUCUUUCUAGGUAAUUUUUAAUUGUGCUAAUUUGAAAGCUUCAAUUACAUUAAAUGGGGACACACUCUGUGUUUCUCUCUAUCUCCUGAGUAUUAGGCUGUUCAAUGUGACAUGGACAGGAAGAACGCUAGUUUCAUUUCCUUUCUUAUUACUAAGCACUUAAGAACUUUCUUAGAGG